UCUCCGUAGGUGAACCUGCGGAGGGAUCAUUACCGAGUGAGGGUUCCGGCCCGACCUCCAACCCUUUGUGAAUUCGACCCAGUUGCCUCGGGGGCGACCCUGCCGACGACUCCGUCGCCGGGCGCCCCCGGAGGUCUUCUAAACACUGCAUCUUUGCGUCGGAGUUUAAAACAAAUUAAACAAAACUUUCAACAACGGAUCUCUUGGUUCUGGCAUCGAUGAAGAACGCAGC
rnacentral:misc_RNA from 1 species